rnacentral:rRNA from 1 species
UACGUAGGGCGCAAGCGUUGUCCAGAUUUAUUGGGCGUAAAGAGCUCGUAGGCGGUCUGUCGCGUCGGAUGUGAAAAUCCAGGGCUCAACCCUGGACCUGCAUUCGAUACGGGCAGACUAGAGUUCGGUAGGGGAGACUGGAAUUCCUGGUGUAGCGGUGAAAUGCGCAGAUAUCAGGAGGAACACCGGUGGCGAAGGCGGGUCUCUGGGCAUUAACUGACGCUGAGGAGCGAAAGCAUGGGGAGCGAACAGG